rnacentral:misc_RNA from 1 species
AAAACAUGCAUAUAGAUUAUAUAAAAAAUAAAAAUCUUUCAUUGUAAUAGUUUCAAAAAUUCAAGACAGCUCCAAACUUCCAUCCAAAAGAAUGGCAGAAGCAAUGCUAAUUAGACAAUAAUGGGCCAUGACAGAACUACACAACACACAAGAAUGCUCAAGCAAUUCAUAAAGUUGAUAAAUUAAAUUAAUAACUUGAUGGCCAAAAUCUGAACAAUCUAAUAAAACAUAAUUCACCAAGGAGUUGCUUUGAUACUCGAG